rnacentral:rRNA from 1 species
CCCGCCUGCCCUGUGACCAUAUGUUUAACGGCCGCGGUAUUUUGACCGUGCGAAGGUAGCGCAAUCACUUGUCUUUUAAAUGAAGACCUGUAUGAAUGGCAUAACGAGGGCUAAGCUGUCUCCUUUUUCUGGUCAAUGAAAUUGAUCUGCCCGUGCAGAAGCGGGCAUAUAAACAUUAGACGAGAAGACCCUAUGAAGCUUCAGACACUAGAACAGCCUGCGUUAAAGACCCUAAAUAAAAAGAUUAAACCAAACAGCCCCUGUUCCCCUGUCUUUGGUUGGGGCGACCGCGGGGCAACAAAAAACCCCCACAUGGAACAAGGACACACCUUUAAUAUCAGGGCCACACCCCUAAUAAACAGAAUAUCUGACCAGCACGAUCCGGCAUGGCCGAUCAACGGACCCAGUUACUCUAGGGAUAACAGCGCAAUCCUCUUUUAGAGCCCAUAUCGACAAGAGGGUUUACGACCUCGAUGUUGGAUCAGGACAUCCUAAUGGUGCAGCCGCUAUUAAGGGUUCGUUUGUUCAACGAUUAAAGUCC